AUAUAGGUCAAGCUACAAAGGGCGCAUGGUGAAUGCCUUGGCAUCAGGAGCCGAUGAAGGACGUGAUAAGCUGCGAUAAGCUUCGGGUAGGCGCACAUAGCCUGAGAUCCGAAGAUCUCCGAAUGAGGAAACUCACAUGGGAAACCCCAUGUAUCAUUAAGUGAAUACAUAGCUUAAUGAAGGUAACCCAGGGAACUGAAACAUCUAAGUACCUGGAGGAAGAGAAAGAAAAAUCGAUUUUCUUAGUAGCGGCGAGCGAAAGGGAAAGAGCCCAAACCGGAAACUUGUUUCCGGGGUUGUGGACAUAGCAUAAAAGUGGAGGCUAUUGUAACUGAAGAGAACUGGAAAGUUCCACCGUAGAAGGUAAUAGUCCUGUAAGUGAAACGAGAAGACCACGAGUUAUGAUCCAGAGUACCACGAGACACGUGAAACCUUGUGGGAAGCAGGGAGGACCACCUCCCAAGGCUAAAUACUACCUGAUGACCGAUAGUGAAGCAGUACCGUGAGGGAAAGGUGAAAAGAACCCCGGGAGGGGAGUGAAAUAGAACCUGAAACCGUGUGCCUACAACCGCUCAGAGCCCCUUAUGAGGGUGAUGAGGUGCUUUUUGUAGAACGAGCCAACGAGUUACGGUAUGUAGCAAGGUUAAGUACUUAAGGUACGGAGCCGAAGGGAAACCGAGUCUGAAUAGGGCGACUAGUUGCAUGCCGUAGACCCGAAACCGGGUGACCUAUCCAUGGCCAGGUUGAAGCGAGGGUAAAACCUCGUGGAGGACCGAACCACGUUGCUGUUGAAAAAGCAUGGGAUGAGCUGUGGAUAGCGGAGAAAUUCCAAUCGAACCCGGAGAUAGCUGGUUCUCUCCGAAAUAGCUUUAGGGCUAGCGUCGAGUAUGAGUAGUGGAGGUAGAGCACUGAAUGGGCUAGGGGGCAUAGCGCUUACCGAACCUUAUCAAACUCCGAAUGCCACAUACUUUGAGCUCGGCAGUCAGACUACGAAUGAUAAGAUCCGUGGUCAAAAGGGAAACAGCCCAGAUCGUCAGCUAAGGUCCCAAAGUGUAAGUUAAGUGGGAAAGGAUGUGAGAUUUCUAAGACAACUAGGAUGUUGGCUUAGAAGCAGCCAUUCAUUAAAAGAGUGCGUAAUAGCUCACUAGUCGAGAGAUCUUGCGCCGAAAAUGUAACGGGGCUAAACUUACCACCGAAGCUACGGGCUUGAACUUAGUUCAAGCGGUAGGAGAGCGUCGUAACCGGGCUGAAGUCGUACCGUAAGGAGCGGUGGACUGGUUACGAGUGAGAAUGUUGGCAUCAGUAGCGAGAUGUGGGUGAGAAUCCCACAGGCCGAAAACCUAAGGUUUCCUCAGGAAGGUUCGUCCGCUGAGGGUUAGUCGGGACCUAAGCCGAGGCCGAAAGGCGUAGGUGAUGGACAACUGGUUGAUAUUCCAGUACCACUACCAUCGUUAUUAUCGAUGGCGUGACGCAGGAGGAUAGUGUGUGCUAGCUAUUGGAUGCUAGUCUAAGCGUUUAGGCAGUGAGAGUAGGCAAAUCCGCUCUCAUAAUGCUGAGGCGUGAUGGGGAAGGUUCCACGGAACCGAAGUACAUGAUUCCACGCUGCCAAGAAAAGCGUCUAGAGAGAGAAGUAGUGCCCGUACCGCAAACCGACACAGGUAGGUGAGGAGAGAAUCCUAAGGCCGGCGGAAGAAUUACAGUUAAGGAACUCGGCAAAUUGACCCCGUAAGUUCGCGAGAAGGGGUGCCUACGAGAGUAGGCCGCAGAGAAUAGGCCCAAGCAACUGUUUAGCAAAAACACAGGUCUCUGCUAAAGCGUAAGCUGAUGUAUAGGGGCUGACGCCUGCCCGGUGCUGGAAGGUUAAGGGGAACACUUAGCGCAAGCGAAGGUGUGAACUUAAGCCCCAGUAAACGGCGGCCGUAACUAUAACGGUCCUAAGGUAGCGAAAUUCCUUGUCAGGUAAGUUCUGACCCGCACGAAUGGCGUAAUGACUUGGGCACUGUCUCAACUGUAAAUCCGGCGAAGUUGUAGUGCGAGUGAAGAUGCUCGCUACCCGCGAUUGGACGGAAAGACCCCGUAGAGCUUUACUGUAGCUUAGCAUUGAGUUUUGGUAUUGUCUGUACAGGAUAGGUGGGAGACUAGGAAACCAGGGCGUCAGCCUUGGUGGAGUCAACCUUGGGAUACCACCCUGACAGUACUGAAAUUCUAACUGGCGGCCAUGAAUCUGGUCACAGGACAUUGUUAGGUGGGCAGUUUGACUGGGGCGGUCGCCUCCUAAAAAGUAACGGAGGCGCCCAAAGGUUCCCUCAGAACGGUCGGAAAUCGUUCGAAGAGUGCAAAGGCAGAAGGGAGCCUGACUGCGACACCCACAAGUGGAGCAGGGACGAAAGUCGGGCUUAGUGAUCCGGUGGUACCUCGUGGGAGGGCCAUCGCUCAACGGAUAAAAGCUACCUCGGGGAUAACAGGCUGAUCUCCCCCAAGAGUCCACAUCGACGGGGAGGUUUGGCACCUCGAUGUCGGCUCGUCGCAUCCUGGGGCUGAAGUAGGUCCCAAGGGUUGGGCUGUUCGCCCAUUAAAGCGGCACGCGAGCUGGGUUCAGAACGUCGUGAGACAGUUCGGUCCCUAUCCGUCGCGGGCGUAGGAAAUUUGAGAGGAGCUGUCCUUAGUACGAGAGGACCGGGAUGGACUGACCUCUGGUGUACCAGUUGUUCCGCCAGGAGCACAGCUGGGUAGCUAAGUCGGGAAUGGAUAAACGCUGAAAGCAUCUAAGCGUGAAGCCAACCUCAAGAUGAGAUUUCCCAUAGCGUAAGCUAGUAAGAUCCCUUGAAGAACACAAGGUUGAUAGGUCGGGGGUGUAAGCAUGGUAACAUGUUCAGCUGACCGAUACUAAUAGAUCGAGGGCUUGACCAAAU
rnacentral:rRNA from 1 species